rnacentral:rRNA from 1 species
GAAAAGAAACCAACAGGGAUUGCCCUAGUAACGGCGAGUGAAGCGGCAACAGCUCAAAUUUGAAAGCUGGCUCUCGGGCCCGCAUUGUAAUUUGCAGAGGAUGCUUCUGGCGACGCGCCUUCCGAGUUCCCUGGAACGGGACGCCAUAGAGGGUGAGAGCCCCGUCCGGUCGUGCGCCUAGCCUCUGUGAAGCUCCUUCGACGAGUCGAGUAGUUUGGGAAUGCUGCUCAAAAUGGGAGGUAUACGUCUUCUAAAGCUAAAUACCGGCCAGAGACCGAUAGCGCACAAGUAGAGUGAUCGAAAGAUGAAAAGCACUUUGAAAAGAGAGUUAAAAAGUACGUGAAAUUGUUGAAAGGGAAGCGCUCAUGACCAGACUUGGGCUGGCCCGAUCAUCCGGCGUUCUCGCCGGUGCACUCGGGCCGCCCAGGCCAGCAUCAGCUUUCGCCGGGGGAUAAAGGCGGCGGGAAUGUGGCUCCCUCGGGAGUGUUAUAGCCCGCCGUGCAAUACCCUGGUGGGGGCUGAGGUUCGCGCGUAUGCACGGAUGCUGGCGUAAUGGUUAUCAG